GAAAUGCGAUAAGUAAUGUGAAUUGCAGAAUUCAGUGAAUCAUCGAAUCUUUGAACGCACCUUGCGCUCCUUGGUAUUCCUUGGAGCAUGCCUGUUUGAGUAUCAUGAAAUCUUCAAAGUAAAUCUUUUGUUAACUCAAUUGGUUUCUACUUUGGUAUUGGAGGUCUUUGCAGCUUCACACCUGCUCCUCUUUGUUCAUUAGCUGGAUCUCAGUGUUAUGCUUGUUUCCACUCGGCGUGAUAAGUUAUCUAUCGCUGAGGACACUGUAAAAGGUGGCCAAGGUAAAUGCAGAUGAACCGCUUCUAAUAGUCCAUUGACUUGGACAAUACUUUUAUGAUCUGAUCUCAAAUCAGGUAGGACUACCCGCUGAACUUAAGC
rnacentral:misc_RNA from 1 species